rnacentral:rRNA from 1 species
GACGAACGCUGGCGGCGUGCUUAACACAUGCAAGUCGAACGGUAAGGCUCCAGCUUGCUGGGGUACACGAGUGGCGAACGGGUGAGUAACACGUGGGUGACCUGCCCUGCACUUCGGGAUAAGCCUGGGAAACUGGGUCUAAUACCGGAUAGGACCGCACCGUGAGGGUGUGGUGGAAAGUUUUUUCGGUGUGGGAUGGGCCCGCGGCCUAUCAGCUUGUUGGUGGGGUAAUGGCCUACCAAGGCGGCGACGGGUAGCCGGCCUGAGAGGGUGGACGGCCACAUUGGGACUGAGACACGGCCCAGACUCCUACGGGAGGCAGCAGUGGGGAAUAUUGCACAAUGGGCGGAAGCCUGAUGCAGCGACGCCGCGUGGGGGAUGACGGCCUUCGGGUUGUAAACUCCUUUCACCAUCGACGAANGGUUUCUGACGGUAGAUGGAGAAGAAGCACCGGCUAACUACGUGCCAGCAGCCGCGGUAAUACGUAGGGUGCGAGCGUUUGUCCGAAUUACUGGGCGUAAAGAGCUCGUAGGUGGUUUGUCGCGUCGUCUGUGAAAUUCCGGGGCUCAUCUCCGGGCGUGCAGGCGAUACGGGCAUAACUUGAGUACUGUAGGGGAGACUGGAAUUCCUGGUGUAGCGGUGAAAUGCGCAGAUAUCAGGAGGAAUACCGGUGGCGAAGGCGGGUCUCUGGGCAGUAACUGACGCUGAGGAGCGAAAGCAUGGGGAGCGAACAGGAUUAGAUACCCUGGUAGUCCAUGCCGUAAACGGUGGGCGCUAGGUGUGGGUUUCCUUCCACGGGAUCCGUGCCGUAGCUAACGCAUUAAGCGCCCCGCCUGGGGAGUACGGCCGCAAGGCUAAAACUCAAAGGAAUUGACGGGGGCCCGCACAAGCGGCGGAGCAUGUGGAUUAAUUCGAUGCAACGCGAAGAACCUUACCUGGGCUUGACAUAUACAGGAUCGCGCCAGAGAUGGUGUUUCCCUUGUGGCUUGUAUACAGGUGGUGCAUGGUUGUCGUCAGCUCGUGUCGUGAGAUGUUGGGUUAAGUCCCGCAACGAGCGCAACCCUUGUCUUAUGUUGCCAGCACGUUGUGGUGGGGACUCGUAAGAAACUGCCGGGGUUAACUCGGAGGAAGGUGGGGAUGACGUCAAAUCAUCAUGCCCCUUAUGUCCAGGGCUUCACACAUGCUACAAUGGUCGGUACAGUGGGUUGCCAGUCCGUGAGGGCGAGCUAAUCCCGCAAAGCCGGUCUCAGUUCGGAUCGGGGUCUGCAACUCGACCCCGUGAAGUCUGAGUCGCUAGUAAUCGCAGAUCAGCAACGCUGCGGUGAAUACGUUCCCGGGCCU